GAUGAAGAACGCAGCGAAGUGCGAUAAGUAAUGUGAAUUGCAGAAUUCCGUGAAUCAUCGAAUCUUUGAACGCACAUUGCGCCCCCUGGCAUUCCGGGGGGCAUGCCUGUCCGAGCGUCAUUUCUGCCCUCCAGCCCGGCUGGGUGUUGGGCGCUGUCCCCCCGGGGACACGCCCCAAAGGCAGUGGCGGCGCCGCGUCGGGUCCUCGAGCGUAUGGGGCUUUGUCACCCGCUCGGGACGGACUCGUCGGCGCUGGUCUUCCUCCAGGCGACCCUUCGGGGCUCGUCUUCCUUCGGUUGACCUCGGAUCAGGUAGGGUUACCCGCUGAACUUAAGCAUAUCAAUAAGCGGAGGA
rnacentral:misc_RNA from 1 species